AGUGAACGCUGGCGGUAGGCCUAACACAUGCAAGUCGAACGGCAGCACAGUAAGAGCUUGCUCUUACGGGUGGCGAGUGGCGGACGGGUGAGGAAUACAUCGGAAUCUACUUUUUCGUGGGGGAUAACGUAGGGAAACUUACGCUAAUACCGCAUACGACCUACGGGUGAAAGCAGGGGAUCUUCGGACCUUGCGCGAUUGAAUGAGCCGAUGUCGGAUUAGCUAGUUGGCGGGGUAAAGGCCCACCAAGGCGACGAUCCGUAGCUGGUCUGAGAGGAUGAUCGGCCACACUGGAACUGGGACACGGUCCAGACUCCUACGGGAGGCAGCAGUGGGGAAUAUUGGACAAUGGGCGCAAGCCUGAUCCAGCCAUCCCGCGUGGGUGAAGAGGGCCUUCGGGUUGUAAAGCCCUUUUGUUGGGAAAGAAAAGCAGCAGGUUAAUACCCCGCUGUUCUGACGGUACCCAAAGAAUAAGCACCGGCUAACUUCGUG
rnacentral:rRNA from 1 species